rnacentral:rRNA from 1 species
AUUGAACGCUGGCGGCAGGCUUAACACAUGCAAGUCGAGCGGAGAUGAGGUGCUUGCACCUUAUCUUAGCGGCGGACGGGUGAGUAAUGCUUAGGAAUCUGCCUAUUAGUGGGGGAUAACAUUCCGAGAGGAAUGCUAAUACCGCAUACGUCCUACGGGAGAAAGCAGGGGAUCUUCGGACCUUGCGCUAAUAGAUGAGCCUAAGUCGGAUUAGCUAGUUGGUGGGGUAAAGGCCUACCAAGGCGACGAUCUGUAGCGGGUCUGAGAGGAUGAUCCGCCACACUGGGACUGGGACACGGCCCAGACUCCUACGGGAGGCAGCAGUGGGAAAUAUUGGACAAUGGGGGGAACCCUGAUCCAGCCAUGCCGCGUGUGUGAAGAAGGCCUUAUGGUUGUAAAGCACUUUAAGCGAGGAGGAGGCUACUGAGACUAAUACUCUUGGAUAGUGGACGUUACUCGCAGAAUAAGCACCGGCUAACUCUGUGCCAGCCGCCGCCGUAA